rnacentral:lncRNA from 1 species
UUGAGGUAGGUUAUGAUCUUUAAUUUGCUUGAACUUGGUCUCGAGCCCAAUGUUAUUUAAAUUCAAUUCUUGCUAAACUGCUUCAGACCGGACUCGACAAAACUAAAAAUAGGACCGUGACUUAAUAAAAUUAAUCAAACAUUUUUCUCAUACAAAAAUAAUUAAUUAUAGCUUUCAAUCUAAUUAGGACCAAAACCCAUUUAAUUAUAACCUUAACUUGAUUACAACU